GAUGAACGCUGGCGGCGUGCUUAACACAUGCAAGUCGAACGGAAAGGCCACAGCUUGCUGUGGUACUCGAGUGGCGAACGGGUGAGUAACACGUGGGUGAUCUGCCCUGUACUUCGGGAUAAGCUUGGGAAACUGGGUCUAAUACCGGAUAGGAAUCACAUGUGGGUGUGUGGUUGGAAAGCUUUUGCGGUAUGGGAUGAGCUCGCGGCCUAUCAGCUUGUUGGUGGGGUAAUGGCCUACCAAGGCGUCGACGGGUAGCCGGCCUGAGAGGGUGUACGGCCACAAUGGGACUGAGAUACGGCGCAGACUCCUACGGGAGGCAGCAGUGGGGAAUAUUGCACAAUGGGCGCAAGCCUGAUGCAGCGACGCCGCGUGGGGGAUGACGGCCUUCGGGUUGUAAACUCCUUUCGUCAGGGACGAAGCGAAAGUGACGGUACCUGGAUAAGAAGCACCGGCUAACUACGUG
rnacentral:rRNA from 1 species